rnacentral:rRNA from 1 species
CGGCGGACGGGUGAGUAACACGUGGAUAACCUACCUAUAAGACUGGGAUAACUUCGGGAAACCGGAGCUAAUACCGGAUAAUAUACUGAACCGCAUGGUUCAAUGGUGAAAGACGGUUUUGCUGUCACUUAUAGAUGGAUCCGCGCCGCAUUAGCUAGUUGGUAAGGUAACGGCUUACCAAGGCAACGAUGCGUAGCCGACCUGAGAGGGUGAUCGGCCACACUGGAACUGAGACACGGUCCAGACUCCUACGGGAGGCAGCAGUU